GAUAUACUGCACAGUUCAAAUCUAUUUUUACCUUUAGGGGCGGUUCCUAGAUUUUGAAAGGGGCGUUAUUCUAUCAAAUUAAAAAAAUAUAUAUCACUGAGUGUAGCGAGACUAAAAACAAUAUUGACGAUUUUAAGGCAAAACACGAUACUUUGUCCAAUCCUAGGGUGAACGACAUGUUCGUCCCCACCCCGAAUCCGCC
rnacentral:lncRNA from 1 species